rnacentral:rRNA from 1 species
AGUGAACGCUGGCGGUAGGCCCAACACAUGCAAGUCGAACGGCAGCACAGUAAGAGCUUGCUCUUACGGGUGGCGAGUGGCGGACGGGUGAGGAAUACAUCGCAAUCUACUUUUUCGUGGGGGAUAACGUAGGGAAACUUACGCUAAUACCGCAUACGACCUACGGGUGAAAGCAGGGGAUCUUCGGACCUUGCGCGAUUGAAUGAGCCGAUGUCGGAUUAGCUAGUUGGCGGGGUAAAGGCCCACCAAGGCGACGAUCCGUAGCUGGUCUGAGAGGAUGAUCAGCCACACUGGAACUGAGACACGGUCCAGACUCCUACGGGAGGCAGCAGUGGGGAAUAUUGGACAAUGGGCGCAAGCCUGAUCCAGCCAUACCGCGUGGGUGAAGAAGGCCUUCGGGUUGUAAAGCCCUUUUGUUGGGAAAGAAAAGCAGCAGGUUAAUACCCCGCUGUUCUGACGGUACCCAAAGAAUAAGCACCGGCUAACUUCGUG